AAUACGUUCCCGGACCUUGUACACACCGCCCGUCAAGCCAUGGAAGUCGGGAGGACCUGAAACCAGUUGCUGUAAGGCGCUGUUUAGGGUAAAACCGAUGACUGGGGCU
rnacentral:rRNA from 1 species